AUUGAACGCUGGCGGCAUGCCUUACACAUGCAAGUCGUACGGCAGCACGGGUGCUUGCACCUGGUGGCGAGUGGCGAACGGGUGAGUAAUACAUCGGAACAUGUCCUGUAGCGGGGGAUAGCCCGGCGAAAGCCGGAUUAAUACCGCAUACGAUCUACGGAUGAAAGCGGGGGACCUUCGGGCCUCGCGCUAUAGGGUUGGCCGAUGGCUGAUUAGCUAGUUGGUGGGGUAAAGGCCUACCAAGGCGACGAUCAGUAGCUGGUCUGAGAGGACGACCAGCCACACUGGGACUGAGACACGGCCCAGACUCCUACGGGAGGCAGCAGUGGGGAAUUUUGGACAAUGGGCGAAAGCCUGAUCCAGCAAUGCCGCGUGUGUGAAGAAGGCCUUCGGGUUGUAAAGCACUUUUGUCCGGAAAGAAAUCCUUGGCCCUAAUACGGUCGGGGGAUGACGGUACCGGAAGAAUAAGCACCGGCUAACUACGU
rnacentral:rRNA from 1 species